rnacentral:rRNA from 1 species
UACGAAGGGGGCUAGCGUUGCUCGGAAUCACUGGGCGUAAAGGGUGCGUAGGCGGUUCGUUAAGUCUGUCGUGAAAUCCCCGGGCUCAACCUGGGAAUGGCGAUGGAUACUGGCGAGCUAGAGUGUGUCAGAGGAUGGUGGAAUUCCCGGUGUAGCGGUGAAAUGCGUAGAGAUCGGGAGGAACAUCAGUGGCGAAGGCGGCCAUCUGGGACAACACUGACGCUGAAGCACGAAAGCGUGGGGAGCAAACAGG